CGGUGCCAACACCAUGUUCGACAUCGAGUGGCGCGGGCGGCGCGUGGCCCUGCGCGCCAGCAACGGGCGCUACGUCUGCACCAAGAGGAACGGGCAGCUGGCGGCCGUCAGCGACACCGUGGGUGAGUGAUAUUUUAUUUUUUGGGGAGGGCACGGUGGGAGCUGGGGGUCCCCACCCCGCUGACGCCAGCUCUGCGCAGGGGAGGAUGAGGAGUUCACCCUGAAGCUGAUCAACCGGCCCAUGCUGGUGCUGCGGGGCGAGCACGGCUUCGUCUGCUACCACCGCGGCUCCAACCUGCUCGACUCCAACCGCUCCGUCUACGACGUCUUCCACGUGGGCUUCAGCGACGGCGCCUACCAGAUCCGAGGCCAGGGGGGCAAGUUCUGGUACGUGGCGAGCAGCGGGGCGGUUUGCAGCGACGGGGACCUCUCCGAGGAUUUCUUCUUCGAGUUCCGGGAGCGCGGGCGCGUGGCCAUCAAAGGGAAGAACGGGCGCUACCUGCGGGGGGACCCGGCCGGCACCCUGCGGGCCGACAGCGAGUCGGUGCUGCGGGCCACGCUCUGGGAGUACUGAGCCACCGGGCGCUGGGGACGGGGUGGCCGCGGCACCGGCACCGUGGGGGUCCCAAACCCACCCUGCUCCUGGGGAUGGGGUGGCCGGGAAGAGCCGGGCGGGCUGAGGGUGGUGGCAGAGCCGGCGGUGGCAUCGUCUGUGGCAGCUGUGUCCCCAACCCCCCUGUACUCGUGGCAUUAAAAUGCGUCUGGAUUGCACCAGGGCCACGUCUCCUCCUUCGCCUCCCACGGCAAGGGCGCAGCGGGUCGGGAUCCUGCCCCUGCCCCGUCCCAGUGACCCUAUAACCAGGGGACUGCUGCCCCACAGAGCCCCAGUGCCCCCAUAAAGGGCUGGUUUAAGUGUGCAGGGACCCGGGGUUGCUGCAGGUGGUGGCAGAGGGGAACAGGGACACCCCACGGGCAGCUGGGGAUGGAGCCGAGCAGACCCACACCAACGGGACUGGGAUUUGGGGUGCCGAGGGGCUGCAGGGCUCUGCAGAGCUGCCCCCUAAGCACCCCCAGGUGCCAAGGGGAUGGAAAAGAAGAGACAGGCAGCUGGCUGAGCGGCACGAUCGUUUUCAUGGCAGACGACAGAGUUACAGACAGCGGAGCACGCAGGGGGAGGCCUGGGCCAAACCCCGCUGCCCCACCACAGAGAUACGAGAUCAUUUCUAGAAACAGAACUGGGGGGGGGGGGGGGGGGGGGGGGGGGGGGGGGGGGGUGGGCGGCAGGGCCGGGCUGGGCCAGCCCAGAAGCCCCCUGCUCUGCCGCCGGGUGGUGCCCCCCUCCCCGCCUCCCCCCGGGGGGAACCGCGCCGCAGCCCCGCGCCCUCGGCGCUGCCCACAACACGACCACGAAACACGCACACACACAACCCGCCCGGCACCGCCGCCGCGUGCCCUGGCCGGGCGGCCCCCAGCAGGGGCUGCUGCCCCAAUUUGGGGGUCCCCUCUUAUCCCCGGGGGGUGUCCGGGGCGCUCUGGGUGCCCCCGCUCUGCUCACAGCAGAACCAGGCUGGGGUUGCGCAGCUGCCUGUAGACCUGCAGGAGCUUCUCCGCCGUCACCGCGCUCUCCUCGCCCAGGGGCAGCUGGUCGCGCAGGGACUGAGCCUCCUUCAGCAGCAUCUAGGAGGGAAACGGGGAGGUGGGGGGGGUCUGAAAAGCCUCGGGGGGGGCGGGGAAAUGAGGCACAGGGAAGGGAAUGAGGUUUCGUGGCUCACCUCGUGGUUGGCCUGGAUCUGGCGCAGGUACUGCAUGCGGAGGUCAGGGGGGCCCGAGCCCUGCGCCGCCUGCUCCAGCACCAGCGCCUGCAGGGAGAGGGGUUCUGCUGGGGGGGCAGCUCUGGGAACAAAGAGCCCAGGGGCAGGAGCUCCCCCCAACCCGGCCACGGUGCUGCCAUGCAGAUGGGACAACCCAUGGGGCAGAUGGCACAACCCCACAGGUGCCACCCGGGGAUUGGUGGCACCCACACCACGGCUUGGGAAGGGAGCGGGGUCCAAAAGGGUCCCGAUCCUCAGCCCGGAGUGACACCGGGCUCAUCUGCCAGAGAAAACAUCCCCAGGCCCCCAGCUGGGCCCCCAGGGUUUGACCCCAGGGCAUCGGAUUUGCCUGGGGACCCCGGGGCUGUGUCUGGGGGGAGCUGGGGGGCACGGGGGGAGCGUCACGGCCCCGCAGUUUGGGGUACCUGG
rnacentral:lncRNA from 1 species